AACGAACGCUGGCGGCAUGCCUAACACAUGCAAGUCGAACGAGACCUUCGGGUCUAGUGGCGCACGGGUGCGUAACGCGUGGGAACCUGCCCUUAGGUUCGGAAUAACUCCCCGAAAGGGGUGCUAAUACCGGAUAAUGUCUUCGGACCAAAGAUUUAUCGCCUUUGGAUGGGCCCGCGUUGGAUUAGCUAGGUGGUAGGGUAAAAGCCUACCAAGGCGACGAUCCAUAGCUGGUCUGAGAGGAUGAUCAGCCACACUGGGACUGAGACACGGCCCAGACUCCUACGGGAGGCAGGAGUGGGGGAUAAUGGAAGAUGGGCGAAAGCCUGAUCCAGCAAUGCCGCGUGAGUGAUUAAGGCCUUAGGGUUGUAAAGCUCUUUUACCCGGGAUGAUAAUGACAGUACCGGGAGAAUAAGCUCCGGCUAACUCCGUG
rnacentral:rRNA from 1 species